rnacentral:rRNA from 1 species
GACGAACCGUGCAAACGUUGUUCGGAAUCACUGGGCUUAAAGGGCGCGUAGGCGGGCGGGCAAGUCAGGGGUGAAAUCCCACGGCUCAACCGUGGAAGUGCCUUUGAUACUGCCGGUCUGGAGGGAGGUAGGGGCGUGCGGAACUUCCGGUGGAGCGGUGAAAUGCGUAGAUAUCGGGAGGAACACCAGUGGCGAAGGCGGGUCUCUGGGCCGAUACUGACGCUGAGGAGCGAAAGCGUGGGGAGCGAACAGG